rnacentral:rRNA from 1 species
CCUACGGGUGGCAGCAGUGGGGAAUCUUGCGCAAUGGGCGAAAGCCUGACGCAGCAACGCCGCGUGCGGGAUGACGGCCUUCGGGUUGUAAACCGCUUUCAGCAGGGACGCGGUACCUGCAGAAGAAGCUCCGGCUAACUACGUGCCAGCAGCCGCGGUAAUACGUAGGGAGCAAGCGUUGUCCGGAUUUAUUGGGCGUAAAGAGCUCGUAGGCGGUUCCGUAAGUCAGGUGUGAAAAAUCUGGGCUCAACCCAGUGGAGCACCUGAUACUGCGGGACUCGAGUCCGGUAGGGGAGUGUGGAAUUCCUGGUGUAGCGGUGAAAUGCGCAGAUAUCAGGAGGAACACCGACGGCGAAGGCAGCACUCUGGGCCGGACUGACGCUGAGGAGCGAAAGCAUGGGGAGCGAACAGGAUUAGAUACCCUUGUAGUC